AGUCCUGUGACGCAGUGGUUAGCGUGUCGUUCUUAUAUUUACGUUCCUCGCUUGCGAGGUUGUAUGUAUGACCAUUGUGGUAAUGCGAAAGUCGCGGGUUCAAGUCCCGCCAGGACUA